rnacentral:lncRNA from 1 species
GAGGCCCGCCGGCCCAGCAGAGGGCGCCCACCAAUCUGCACGCGGGCCCAGCGAGUUAUCUUGAUUUCGGCCAAGCUUUCUGACUGCUCCAAAAAACGAAGAAAAAGAUUCAGGGAGAGUAAGAGGAUGAAGAGAGCUGGUGAAGCAGCUGACCAAAUGGCCCGAGGUGGUAUGCAGCCGCGGUAAAGCAGGGCCCCUCCGUGAGGCACAGCCGCCCGGGGGUUCCCUAGGGGAAGCAGGGGCUGCGGCAGACGCCUCUCGGGCAGGUCAGGGUAUGCACCCUCCCGCAGGGGCUCCCAAGGCCGGGCGUGCGUGAGGCCAGGUCCACGGGCACACCACUGUGAACACUGAUUAAACGUGGCCUCCACGGCUUCCAACCCCCAGGACAGGACCAACCCUCUGCCCCCGGCUCAGGCCAGAGCUCGGCGAGACCGUCGCUGUUUAACAAGCAUUUGCUAUACGCCACCUUGCAUUAUGACAGCAUGUGACCCACACAGCCAUCCUAGGAAGCAGCAGUUCUCAAGUCACCAAUGGGUAAAAGGCUUCAGUGAUCCACUCCUACAGCCAAAAGGCACUGCUCGGUCUCUUCAGCCUCAGAUGGUUCACUCCUGGAAACAUUUUUCCACUUGGCUUCAUGACACCACAGUCCUGGUCUUUCUCGUCCCAGGUAAGGAGAGUCCUGGUCUUUGUCAACCCAGGUGGCCACUAUUACUUUGUCGUCUUAAUAUUCAGUUCUGGAUCUCUUCUUAUUCUAUACCCUUCCUAGGCACUGUCCCCUCCCACAGCCUCCUUCUCACCUUUUCCAUAACCAUGUCUAGGCCCGGCAGCCCCACAUUUACCACUUGCACACCAGACCUUAUAAUUCCAGGCCUGAAUAUCCACCUGCCCAGGGACACUCCCACUUGGAUGUCCCGAGCACCUCCAUUUUGCCAUGUCUGAAACAGAAUUCAGCAUCAGUUCCUCACAACUGGUCUUCUACAGACUUCCCCAGUAAUCCCUCAACCCACCUGCCAAUAUUUAAGCUGUUUGUAAGCCACUCAUGCAAACAUUCAAUAACCCAACUACGUGUCAUAGAUUGGUCUGAACACCUAGCUGUUAACAUAAAGAUGAGCAUAAAAGACAAAACCCCUGCCCUAUUGAAGCUAGUUCAGUAAUCACACACAUUCCAACCGUGGUAUAUGAGGUGGAGAAGAGGUACAAAGGAAAACGAGAGGGUACCACAGGACUUGACUGAGUGUGGCAGGCCACGGAUGGCUCCCUGACACAGUAACCUUAAGUAACACAUCCUGAGGCUGAGCAGGAAUUCAUUAGGUGGAGACAGGGAGCGAACUCCUGCAGAGAGGAAAGAGGGGCAGAAAGCCUGGCACUCACUGGCACUGUCGAUUCCCCACAUGACCUUUCAAUCCCUUGCCUCUUGAGAGGAACCAUCUCUGCUUUGCUCAUCACUGUUUCCUUGAUGCUGAGUAAAACAUGACUCACAGGAAGGAUGCAAAAACUACAAAAAUGGAGGCCUCACUCCACUACUCCAUUCUGUGACAUAAGCCACGUCAACUCUUUCAACACUCUGGCACCACUUUCAACACUCUGGUACUAGAAUAACUCAGUGUUCUAAUAUGUAAAAUGUAAAUGCUUGCCUUGCAAACCUGCUGAGAAGCAAAUCCAUUAUUUAAUGAAUAAAAAGCACUUGAUAAAAGCACUAUUCCCAAAAUUAAGAAUUAAAUUAUGAGAGAUCUUCAACAGACCAAAAACAAAUGUUCACAGUCCCUGCUUUAUUUCCAUUUGUUCACACACGCUUUAAAAAAAAAAAAAAAAACACAUGCACUCACAC